CACCGGCGGCUCGAGUGGUGGCCACUUUUAUUGGGUCUAAAGCGUCCGUAGCAGGCUUGGCAAGUCCCCUGGGAAAUCUGGCGGCUUAACCGUCAGGCGUCCAGAGGAUACUGCCAGGCUUGGGACCGGGAGAGGUGAGAGGUACCUCAGGGGUAGGGGUGAAAUCUUGUGAUCCCUGAGGGACCACCAGUGGCGAAGGCGUCUCACUAGAACGGGUCCGACGGUCAGGGACGAAAGCUGGGGGCACGAACCGG
rnacentral:rRNA from 1 species